ACAAUGUAAGAAGCAUACAGCAUACAUCCCCAAUCUUGUCUAACUGUGUUGCAAGCUUAAUAAACAGGAAGGUUAGAAAUUAUUGGUUUAAUCCACAGCUAUAGCUUGAAAAAUACCCAGCUCAGUGAAGAAGUUCUCUCACAUACUAGGAUUUGGGGAAAUGGAUAUGUUUUGUAUUGCUUAAAGGAUGCAGACUGAGACAGGGAAAGAACACACAGAAGCUGUUGUAGAGGACAAGGUACAUGCCGAUAUUUCCUGGACAUCUGUCCAAUCUACUUUGACAUUUGAAGACCAUAGAGUGUGA
rnacentral:lncRNA from 1 species